rfam:Volvox carteri f. nagariensis unplaced genomic scaffold VOLCAscaffold_172, whole genome shotgun sequence.
GGCGCCGUAGCUUAACUGGUAAAGCACCACCUUAACCGGUGGGAGAUUUUGGUUCGAAUCCCACCGGCGUCA